UCUAAACUAAACGAAUACUGCCUAAAAAGAAAGACAAAACUCUCCAAUUGUGUCUGACAGGGCGUGCACAAAACCCACUUUGCAGGGGUUGGACCGGCUCAGCUACUGGACCUACCUCUCGGGGUCAAGCUGCCUGUGAUCCCAGGAAGCAAUGCUGUAUUCUAUACUACGAAUUUCGGUGAAAAGCUUUUUCGACCUUCUUAUGGUUUUAACCUGACUGAUCCCUAUUGUCGACUUUUGGAAAACCAAUAUAAAAGCCUCCAUGAUCCACAUUUAAAAGCAUACUAUAAGCGCAAAGAUAUUUUGAAGAGAUUAAAGAAAGGUGGCUACAUCACCAGCAAUAAUAAA
rnacentral:sRNA from 1 species